GAUUCGUUGCUGGGCGUGAUCAGAACGUUGAUUUGCAAAUGGAAUAUUGGUCUUGAGGGCAAUCUGGAAUCUUGAGUUAAUUAGGAACGGGAGCAAUUAUCAUGAAGUCUAUUGAACUUGAUUAUUGUGGAUCUUCUUAAUGAGCGCAAUUGAGAUGUUUGAAGCACAGCUGAGAGAAACUACAAGCAAUUUGGAUUCAUCGUCAGCGGAGAAGGGGUUCUUUGGUGAUUAAUAAAUGGCUCUAUCUCCUGAAUCUCUUAAACUGUAAGAAUAUAAUACGGAGCUAUACCACAAGUUGCAGAUUGAUGACAUUGAAUACAUGCCAAUCUAUCAAGAAUUUAUGACAAAAUUCUUCAAUUCGGUUUUUGGAUCACUAUCGCUGCCUAAUUACCUUCUUGGGACUAACUAUAUAAGAGC